AGGGAUGUAGUUAAAUAAUAACAUUUAUUCUGCAAAUAAAACUUAUUGAAAAUCAAUCUUCCUUA
rnacentral:tRNA from 1 species